rnacentral:rRNA from 1 species
UACAUGGGGUGCAAGCGUUAAUCGGAAUUACUGGGCGUAAAGCGUGCGUAGACGGUUACAUAAGUCAGAUGUGAAAGCCCCGGGCUCAACCUGGGAAUUGCAUUUGAGACUGCGUAGCUAGGGUGCGGAAGAGGGAAGCGGAAUUUCCGGUGUAGCGGUGAAAUGCGUAGAUAUCGGAAGGAACACCAGUGGCGAAAGCGGCUUCCUGGUCCAGCACCGACGUUCAGGCACGAAAGCGUGGGGAGCAAACAGG